rnacentral:rRNA from 1 species
GCGUCUAAGCAGUGAGGUGUGGAAUGAGGCAAAUCCCGUUCCUAUAACAUUGAGCUGUGAUAGCAAGGGGAUUAUUCCCCGAGUCCCUGAUUUCACGCUGCCAAGAAAAGCCUCUAGCGAGGCGGGAGGUGCCUGUACCGCAAACCGACACAGGUAGGCGAGGAGAGAAUCCUAAGGUGAUCGAGAGAACUCUCGUUAAGGAACUCGGCAAAAUGACCCCGUAACUUCGGAGAAGGGGUGCUCUGGUAGGGUGUUAAAGCCCGAGAGAGCCGCAGUGAAUAGGCCCAGGCGACUGUUUAGCAAAAACACAGGUCUCUGCAAAACCGCAAGGUGAAGUAUAGGGGCUGACGCCUGCCCGGUGCUGGAAGGUUAAGAGGAGAGGUCAGCGCAAGCGAAGCUUCGAAUUGAAGCCCCAGUAAACGGCGGCCGUAACUAUAACGGUCCUAAGGUAGCGAAAUUCCUUGUCGGGUAAGUUCCGACCCGCACGAAAGGCGUAACGAUCUGGGCACUGUCUCAACGAGAGACUCGGUGAAAUUAUAAUACCUGUGAAGAUGCAGGUUACCCGCGACAGGACGGAAAGACCCCGUGGAGCUUUACUGUAACCUGAUAUUGAAUUCCGGUGCAGCCUGUACAGGAUAGGUAGGAGCCUUGGAUUCCGGAGCGCUAGCUUCGGAUGAGGCGUUGGUGGGAUACUACCCUGGCUGUAUUGGACUUCUAACCCAUGCCCCUUAUCGGGGCAGGAGACAGUGUCAGGCGGGCAGUUUGACUGGGGCGGUCGCCUCCUAAAGAGUAACGGAGGCGCCCAAAGGUUCCCUCAGAAUGGUUGGACAUCAUUCGUAGAGUGCAAAGGCAUAAGGGAGCUUGACUGCGAGACCUACAAGUCGAGCAGGGUCGAAAGACGGGCUUAGUGAUCCGGUGGUUCCGCAUGGAAGGGCCAUCGCUCAACGGAUAAAAGCUACCCCGGGGAUAACAGGCUUAUCUCCCCCAAGAGUCCACAUCGACGGGGAGGUUUGGCACCUCGAUGUCGGCUCAUCGCAUCCUGGGGCUGUAGUCGGUCCCAAGGGUUGGGCUGUUCGCCCAUUAAAGCGGUACGCGAGCUGGGUUCAGAACGUCGUGAGACAGUUCGGUCCCUAUCCGUCGCGGGCGCAGGAAAUUUGAGAGGAGCUGUCCUUAGUACGAGAGGACCGGGAUGGACAUACCUCUGGUGUACCAGUUGUCUUGCCAAAGGCAUCGCUGGGUAGCUAUGUAUGGACGGGAUAAAUGCUGAAAGCAUCUAAGCAUGAAGCCCCCCUCGAGAUGAGAUUUCCCAUUACGCAAGUAAGUAAGAUCCCUCAAAGAAGAUGAGGUUGAUAGGUCUGGGGUGGAAGCACGGCGACGUGUGGAGCUGACGGAUACUAAUCGAUCGAGGACUUAACCAA